rnacentral:tRNA from 1 species
GCCUUCGUGGUGUAGUGGUCAGCACGUUGACGUUUCCAGAGGUCCGUGGUUCGAGUCCCGGUGAGGGUG